rnacentral:lncRNA from 1 species
UGGAGAAGGAGAUGCUGUUCAAACCACUCCCAGCCAACAGUGACUGGAAUGAGCUAAAAUGUCUACAACCUUUUUCACCAUAGAACAAAUAUAUGAAUUCACCAAAUAAAGAAUGACAGCUCUCAGGAAUUGUUUCCUAGGGACCAAACAAGAUCUGCUGAGAUCCAGCCUCAUCAAUGAUUAGAGUUGAUUUAUUCUAUGGAAGGCAUCUUCUUCAUCACUAUACAAGUUUCACACUGGAGAUUAUGCAGAGUGAGCACAAGUAUGGGGUGUCUAAGUUUUCUGGUAUUCCUAGGAAACCAGAUACUGGAUGUUUUGUGUGUGAUUUGAGAAUUCACAAAGGUCUUUUUAUGGGGAUUCAAAGGGAAAUGCAGACAUAUGAAUAG